rnacentral:rRNA from 1 species
GAGGAAGGUGGGGAUGACGUCAAAUCAUCAUGCCCCUUAUGAUUUGGGCUACACACGUGCUACAAUGGCGUAAACAAAGAGAAGCGAAGCUGUGAGGCAGAGCAAAUCUCAAAAAUAACGUCUCAGUUCGGAUUGUAGUCUGCAACUCGACUACAUGAAGCUGGAAUCGCUAGUAAUCGCGGAUCAGAAUGCCGCGGUGAAUACGUUCCCGGGUCUUGUACACACCGCCCGUCACACCAUGGGAGUCGGAAAUGCCCGAAGCCAGUGACCCAAGCGAAAGCAGGGAGCUGUCGAGGGCAGGUCUGAUAACUGGGGUGAAGUCGUAACAA